rnacentral:rRNA from 1 species
CCUACGGGUGGCAGCAGUGAGGAAUAUUGGUCAAUGGGCGGAAGCCUGAACCAGCCAAGUCGCGUGAGGGAAUAAGGCCCUACGGGUCGUAAACCUCUUUUGCCGGGGAGCAAGGGCGGGGACGUGUCCCGGUCCGGAGAGUACCCGGAGAAAAAGCAUCGGCUAACUCCGUGCCAGCAGCCGCGGUAAUACGGGGGAUGCGAGCUUUAUCCGGAUUUUUUGGGUUUAAAGGGUGCGUAGGCGGGCUUUUAAGUCAGCGGUAAAAAUUCGGGGCUCAACCCCGUCCGGCCGUUGAAACUGGGGGCCUUGAGUGGGCGAGAGGAAGGCGGAAUGCGUGGUGUAGCGGUGAAAUGCAUAGAUAUCACGCAGAACCCCGAUUGCGAAGGCAGCCUUCCGGCGCCCUACUGACGCUGAGGCACGAAAGUGCGGGGAUCGAACAGGAUUAGAUACCCCAGUAGUC